UCGGGAAUCUUGCACAAUGGGCGAAAGCCUGAUGCAGCAACGCCGUGUGAGCGAGGAAGGCCUUAGGGUCGUAAAGCUCUGUUGUUGGGGACGAAGGGCGAAGGGUUAAUAGCCCCUAGCCUGACGGUACCCUUCGAGGAAGCCCCGGCUAACUACGUGCCAGCAGCCGCGGUAAUACGUAGGGGGCGAGCGUUGUCCGGAAUUAUUGGGCGUAAAGAGCGUGUAGGCGGCCUGGUAAGUCUGCCGUGAAAACCUGGGGCUCAACCCUGGGCGUGCGGUGGAUACUGCUAGGCUAGAGGAUGGUAGAGGCGAGUGGAAUUCCCGGUGUAGCGGUGAAAUGCGCAGAUAUCGGGAGGAACACCAGUAGCGAAGGCGGCUCGCUGGGCCAUUCCUGACGCUGAGACGCGAAAGCGUGGGGAGCAAACAGGAUUAGAUACCCCCGUAGUCC
rnacentral:rRNA from 1 species